CUAGAGAUUACUGCCUUCAGUGACCGGUAUGCAGAAUUUGAGAAGUUGAACACAGAAGUGUUAGGUGUCUCUGUUGAUAGUGUGUUCUCCCAUCUUGCUUGGAUUCAAACAGACA